CGGGUGCACUGAUCCAGCCGGGCCUUUCCCUCUGUGGAACCCCAUGGCCUUCACUGGCUGUGGUGGGGAAACAGGACUUUUACUUUGAAAAAAUUAGAGUGCUCCAGGCAGGCCUAUGCUCGAAUACAUUAGCAUGGAAUAAUAGAAUAGGACGCGUGGUUCUAUUUUGUUGGUUUCUAGGACCGCCGUAAUGAUUAAUAGGGACAGUCGGGGGCAUCAGUAUUCAAUUGUCAGAGGUGAAAUUCUUGGAUCUAUUGAAGACUAACUACUGCGAAAGCAUUUGCCAAGGAUGUUUUCAUUGAUAAGGAACGAAAGUUAGGGGAUCGAAGACGAUCAGAUACCGUCGUAGUCUUAACUAUAAACUAUGCCGACUAGGGAUCGGACGAUGUUAUUCUUUGACGCGUUCGGCACCUUUCGAGAAAUCAAAGUGCUUGGGCUCCAGGGGGAGUAUGGUCGCAAGGCUGAAACUUAAAGAAAUUGACGGAAGGGCACCACCAGGGGUGGAACCUGCGGCUUAAUUUGACUCAACACGGGGAAACUCACCAGGUCCAGACACAGUGAGGAUUGACAGAUUGAGAGCUCUUUCUUGAUUCUGUGGGUGGUGGUGCAUGGCCGUUCUUAGUUGGUGGAGUGAUUUGUCUGCUUAAUUGCGAUAACGAACGAGACCUUAACCUGCUAAAUAGCCCGUACUGCUUUGGCAGUUCGCCGGCUUCUUAGAGGGACUAUCGG
rnacentral:rRNA from 1 species